GUCUGUGUGGUUUAGGGGUUUGAGUGCUGGACUACGGCUCUGGAGACCAGGGUUAGAUUCCCAGCCCAGCCA
rnacentral:tRNA from 1 species